rnacentral:lncRNA from 1 species
UUCUACAAUGACAUGUGGGCCCCGAUACAACUGAAAAUAUGCAAGACUGUAGACCUUCGAUUUCUAAGGAUGCAGAUCCAAAAGCAAUCCUCGACAAAAUUGGCUGUCUAUAGACUGUCCUGAGCCUGAAAUGGGUGAAAAAAAGAGGUGAGUUUUUAUAAACCCAAUGAGUAAGCAAAAGCUCAUCUAUAACAUCUAAAACCAAGUAAAUGGAGACAGUUAAAUUAUCCCAUCAUAAUAUAAUUCAUCACAUACCAAAACUCAUUUCAAUUCAUAUAAAACAAUUAUAUUUCAUCAAAAUAAUCAACAAGGCUUAUGAUUUUCUUAAAAACUUGGCUUGUGCCAAAACUCAUACUCGGAGACACCUUGGCUCAGGCAUCCAACCGAGUCCUCCAAGGAUGUUAAAACGACAUAUACCCAUAAAACAUGUUUUUACUUUUAAAAUAUAGCCAUUCCCUAACGUUGGCUGAGUUUCAUCCUGACGUGGUGGUUCGGCGUGAAGUGAACUCUAAAUAUACCUUAGGAGAUACCCUUCAUGCCUCUCGUACUAAGGUAAAAUAUAACGGGGUUUAUUAUGCCCCUCUAAUAGGUUGGUCCACAGAAACCCGCCCACUGCAGUAAGCUAAUCAAAUAACCCACCAAAUCAAUAAACAUUUCAACAACAUGACAUGGCUAAUAUAAUAUUACCCAGCCUGUGUCACGGCAAAAUAAAACAGUUUAUAUAUUCCACACAAAACACAAAUCCAGUCAUUCAUGCCAUCACAUUGUCAUAAGCUACCAAUUCAAACCAUAUAUCAAAACACGAGUAUAUAGUCUCCACUUACUCAAUUUCCAAAACCAAUAUUCAAUUUCAAAACAAGUUAUAAAACUCAUUUCAUUUAACCAACAAUUCAAUUUUUAAAACAUAAUAAUUUACCAUUUAAAUUCAUUAUUCUUUAAAACAUAAAAACAAGUAGAAACAACUUUAGAUAGUUAAGAUGAAAGUCUGUUACUCACAAUAGCAGGAGUUUAGAGUACUCCUAUUCUUGGUCCUCGGGUACAAUAUCUUUACCCUUAUCAGAGGGCUCAUCACCUAUACAUAAUACACGACACGUAAUUCAAUAUAUUUGUGUCAAACUGUUAUAAAACUAUUUCAGGCUCUAUAUGAAUACAUGAAAUUGAAUCAGAAUUGUCCGAAUAAUCACUUAAAGACGGUGUUUUACGUGGGUUCAAUUAUGAUCGGACUGAAUUUGUAUUCGACCUAACUCGAACUAUACACUGUUAAAUCAACCAAAACAUCCGAUUCAACUCCAAAUAUAUUCAUUACACUUCUAAUACUCCAAUUACACCUAAGUACCUCAAUAAGAUUAAUUAUGACCUAAUUCACCGUAAUGGAAAUUCAUUCUGAUUUUGAUAUCCAAUACCAUAAAUCAUCAAUUACUAGCUAAAUAACUUGAAAUACAACAAAAUCCAUCAUCAAUAUGUCACCCACAAAAUUCGGCCAAAGUGGGUUGUUGAAGGGCAUGUGAUUUUCUUGCUUGUUUUUCAUGCCAAACAUCAUCAAACAACUAAAAACACUAAGAUAUCAUGAAAUCUAGCAAAAUCCACCAUCAAAAGCUCUCUCUCUAAGUUCGGCCAGCAUGUAAUCCUUCAUGGAAACUUGUGUUUUAGCCAUGGAGAAUGAAAAAGAAUGCAUAGGAAAGGUAGAUCACAAGCUAAAAUUAAAAAAUCUUACCUUUACUUGCUUGAUUCCUUGAAAUCCAAUAAUUUCUCUUGAAUUUUUCUUGCCUAGGGUUUGUUCUUCUCUUUUUCUCUUUGUUCCCUUGCUUGGCCGGCCAUAAGAGUGUGAAUAUGAAGGUUUCAAGUGAGUUUAUAUAGGCAAUUUGUCACGACUCGGAACUCCUAUCGGGCCCGUGACAACCACCGCGACGUCUCGAUAGGCACUCAUUACCCCGAAUGUCGAUGGAAACCCCGCAAGGCUUAGCAUCAGCUUUCGCAUCUCCCCGGUGAGCGACAGUUAUUAAAUCUUGCAUUUCAAGAAAUCAUAAGUAGUUUCCAAAUCAAAACAAUAAACUAUUAUUUUCUGGCUCACAGGGGCAUUUUCGUCAUUUUUCUUUGAUAAUACCGAAACUCGCCAAAAAUAUGGUGUAAAAGCUAAAUAUGUUCAUAUAUAUUUUAAAUAAGAUAACUAAAGUAUAAAAUUACUUUUACAAUGACACGUGGG